AGUGAACGCUGGCGGUAGGCCUAACACAUGCAAGUCGAACGGCAGCACAGUAAGAGCUUGCUCUUACGGGUGGCGAGUGGCGGACGGGUGAGGAAUACAUCGGAAUCUACUUUUUCGUGGGGGAUAACGUAGGGAAACUUACGCUAAUACCGCAUACGACCUACGGGUGAAAGCAGGGGAUCUUCGGACCUUGCGCGAUUGAAUGAGCCGAUGUCGGAUUAGCUAGUUGGCGGGGUAAAGGCCCACCAAGGCGACGAUCCGUAGCUGGUCUGAGAGGAUGAUCAGCCACACUGGAACUGAGACACGGUCCAGACUCCUACGGGAGGCAGCAGUGGGGAAUAUUGGACAAUGGGCGAAAGCCUGAUCCAGCCAUACCGCGUGGGUGAAGAAGGCUUUCGGGUUGUAAAGCCCUUUUGUUGGGAAAGAAAAGCAGCGGGUUAAUACCACGCUGUUCUGACGGUACCCAACGAAUAAGCACCGGCUAACUUCGUG
rnacentral:rRNA from 1 species